rnacentral:lncRNA from 1 species
GCCACUGGUUUGCGGGGAUGAGAUAUCUGGCUCAUGCUCAAGCGAGUACUAAAAUCACAUGCUUCAUAGUUGUGGAAUAGUUUCCUAGUUAGCAUGACAGCAGCCCAUCAGUUGGCAUUGGUGGCAUUUAACACCCUGGAAAAUGUCGUUUAAAUUACUUGAUUUCAAGCCUGACUACCUGUGCCAUUUUUGUUCCCGGUGUUGCAUGCAUUUGGUUUUACCAAGCAUCCCUAUACAUAUCUGUUAACACUUGAACGGGAUGUGCGGCUGCAGUCUCAGGCAGGACUUGUAAUAACAACCAAACCUCCAAGAGAUCAUUGGGCAUUUCAACAAGGAAUAUUAUCUGUUGCCACCUUUCUCUGGUGGGAUAGUCGGGUCGGAGGUCGAGUCAUUGUGUCUAUGUAUUGAAUGGCAGGAAAUCGAAGGAGAGAGUACUCACCGGAGGAAGGGCACAGUUGAGAAAGUUGAGAGGGAGAGUGAAAGUUUAUAAUGAGUGUUGAUACUGAUUUUCACCUGGCCUUGAAGCGGCUGGAGUUGGUGGUGCAUCGGGUCGAUGGGGAUGAGACUUAUAAGAGAAGUUUCGAUCGGAGGUUGCUUUAGUGAGGAUUCUCCAAUGCUCAAAAUAGAAAUGCAGUCCAAUAAAAAGAGCAGAGUUUCAGCAUUUGCUUCUUGCGUACAUACCCGGAGGGUCUCUUCUUACCUCUAUUUAUAGAGGGUUUGACGUCGAAAG